AUUGAACGCUGGCGGCAUGCUUUACACAUGCAAGUCGAGCGGCAGCGCGGGACUCAGGCAACUGAGCCCUGGCGGCGAGCGGCGAACGGGUGAGGAAUACAUCGGAACGUGUCCCGUAGUGGGGGAUAGCUCGGCGAAAGCCGGAUUAAUACCGCAUAUGCUCUACGGAGGAAAGCCGGGGAUCUGUUAAAGGACCUGGCGCUAUGGGAGCGGCCGAUGUCCGAUUAGCUAGUUGGUGAGGUAAAGGCUCACCAAGGCGACGAUCGGUAGCUGGUCUGAGAGGAUGAUCAGCCACACUGGGACUGAGACACGGCCCAGACUCCUACGGGAGGCAGCAGUGGGGAAUUUUGGACAAUGGGGCAACCCUGAUCC
rnacentral:rRNA from 1 species